rnacentral:rRNA from 1 species
CGCGGCCUAUCAGCUUGUUGGUGAGGUUAUGGCUUACCAAGGCGACGACGGGUAGCCGGCCUGAGAGGGUGUCCGGCCACACUGGGACUGAGAUACGGCCCAGACUCCUACGGGAGGCUGCAGUGGGGAAUAUUGCACAAUGGGCGCAAGCCUGAUGCAGCGACGCCGCGUGGGGGAUGACGGCUUUCGGGUUGUAAACCUCUUUCAGCUAUGACGAAGCGCAAGUGACGGUAGUAGCAGAAGAAGCACCGGCCAACUACGUGCCAGCAGCCGCGGUAAUACGUAGGGUGCGAGCGUUGUCCGGAAUUACUGGGCGUAAAGAGCUCGUAGGUGGUUUGUCGCGUUGUUCGUGAAAACCUGAGGCUUAACCUUGGGCGUGCGGGCGAUACGGGCAGACUGGAGUACUGCAGGGGAGACUGGAAUUCCUGGUGUAGCGGUGGAAUGCGCAGAUAUCAGGAGGAACACCGGUGGCGAAGGCGGGUCUCUGGGCAGUAACUGACGCUGAGGAGCGAAAGCGUGCGGAGCGAACAGGAUUAGAUACCCUGGUGGUCCGCGCCGUAAACGGUGGGUACUAGGUGUGGGUUUCCUUCCUUGGGAUCCGUGCCGUAGCUAACGCAUUAAGUACCCCGCCUGGGGAGUACGG